rnacentral:lncRNA from 10 species
AGACUCGAUAGCUAUGAUAAGAGAAAACCUCGGAAAUACAAGAAUUCUUUUUAUCUGAAACGAAGCCAAGCAAAGCAACAUCACCUUCUGGAAAGUGCAGAAACUGCAAUCAAGAUCAACAAAGAAAAGCACCCUUCCCAUAGAUUCAUCUCUUUGGCGUUUAAGUGUUUGGGCGAGUCUACAAAACUCAGAUUCCUCAUUUAACUAGAUGUUCCAGGUCACAGAGAUAUUCUACUAAGGCAAUUUUCAAAAGACCAUAAAACCACCACAUCAAUUUAUGCUUGCAGGCUAUAGUGCAGUAAUAUCAUCAUGGCUCACUGCAAUCUCGACUUCUCCAGCUCAAACAAUCCUCCCACCUCAGCCUCCCAAGCAGUUGGGACUACAGGCACGUGUCAUUACACCCAGACAGGGUAUCACUCUGUUGCCCAGGUUGGAUUCCAGUGGCAUGAUCAUGGCUCAGUGCAGUCUCGACUUCUGGGGUUCAAGCGAUUCCCCCAUCUCAGCCUCCUCA